CCUACGGGUGGCUGCAGUGGGGAAUAUUGCACAAUGGGGGAAACCCUGAUGCAGCAACGCCGCGUGAGUGAUGUCGGCCUUCGGGUUGUAAAGCUCUGUCUUCAGGGACGAUAAUGACGGUACCUGAGGAGGAAGCCACGGCUAACGACGUGCCAGGAGGCGCGGUAAUACGUCGGUGGCGAGCGUUGUCCGGAGUUACUGGGCGGAAAGGGAGGGUAGGCGGGCUGUUGAGUGAGAUGUGAAAUACUCGGGCUCAAGUUGCGUGCUGCAUUUCAAACUGGAUGUCUAGAGUGCAGGAGAGGAGAAUGGAAUUCCUGGUGUAGCGGUGAAAUGCGUAGAGAUUAGGAAGAACACCAGUGGCGAAGGCGAUUCUCUGGACUGUAACUGACGCUGAGGCUCGAAAGCGUGGGGAGCAAACAGGAUUAGAUACCCUUGUAGUC
rnacentral:rRNA from 1 species